AGCGAACGCUGGCGGCAGGCCUAACACAUGCAAGUCGAACGGAUCCUUCGGGAUUAGUGGCGGACGGGUGAGUAACACGUGGGAACGUGCCCUUUGGUUCGGAACAACUCAGGGAAACUUGAGCUAAUACCGGAUGUGCCCUUCGGGGGAAAGAUUUAUCGCCAUUGGAGCGGCCCGCGUCUGAUUAGCUAGUUGGUGAGGUAACGGCCCACCAAGGCGACGAUCAGUAGCUGGUCUGAGAGGAUGAUCAGCCACACUGGGACUGAGACACGGCCCAGACUCCUACGGGGGGCAGCAGUGGGGAAUCUUGCGCAAUGGGCGAAAGCCUGACGCAGCCAUGCCGCGUGAAUGAUGAAGGUCUUAGGAUUGUAAAAUUCUUUCAGCGGGGACGAUAAUGACGGUACCCGCAGAAGAAGCUCCGGCUAGCUUCGUG
rnacentral:rRNA from 1 species